UACGUAGGUGGCAAGCGUUGUCCGGAUUUAUUGGGCUUAAAGGGCGCGUAGGCGGUCUUUUAAGUCAGUGCUGAAAUCUCCCGGCUUAACCGGGAGGGUGGCAUUGAUACUGAAGGACUUGAGUACAGUCGAGGUAGGCGGAAUUGACGGUGUAGCGGUGAAAUGCUUAGAUAUCGUCAAGAACACCGAUAGUGUAGACAGCUUACUAGGCUGAAACUGACGCUGAGGCACGAAAGUGUGGGGAGCAAACAGG
rnacentral:rRNA from 1 species